AACGAACGCUGGCGGCAUGCCUAACACAUGCAAGUCGAACGAGACCUUCGGGUCUAGUGGCGCUCGGGUGCGUAACGCGUGGGAACCUGCCCUUAGGUUCGGAAUAACUCCACGAAAGGGGUGCUAAUACCGGAUAAUGUCUUCGGACCAAAGAUUUAUCGCCCUUGGAUGGGCCCGCGUUGGAUUAGCUAGUUGGUAGGGUAAAAGCUUACCAAGGCGACGAUCCAUAGAUGGUCUGAGAGGAUGAUCAGCCACACUGGGAGUGGGACACGGCCCAGACUCUUACGGGAGGCAGCAGUGGGUAAUAUUGGACAAUGGACGAAAGCCUGAUCCAGCAAUGCCGGGUGAGUGAUGAAGGUCUUAGAGUUGUAAAGCUCUUUUAACCGGGAUGAUAAUGACAGUACCGGGAGAAUAAGCCCCGGCUAACUACGUG
rnacentral:rRNA from 1 species